CAGCCAGACUCCUACGGGAGGCAGCAGUGGGGAAUAUUGCACAAUGGGGGAAACCCUGAUGCAGCGACGCCGCGUGAGCGAAGAAGUACCUCGGUAUGUAAAGCUCUAUCAGCAGGGAAGAAGAUGACGGUACCUGACCAAGAAGCUCCGGCUAAAUACGUGCCAGCAGCCGCGGUAAUACGUAUGGAGCAAGCGUUAUCCGGAUUUACUGGGUGUAAAGGGAGCGCAGGCGGCCUUGCAAGUCUGAUGUGAAAGGCCGUGGCCCAACCCCGGGACUGCAUUGGAAACUGCGAGGCUGGAGUGUCGGAGAGGCAGGCGGAAUUCCUAGUGUAGCGGUGAAAUGCGUAGAUAUUAGGAGGAACACCAGUGGCGAAGGCGGCCUACUGGACGGUGACUGACGCUGAGGCUCGAAAGCGUGGGGAGCAAACAGGAUUAGAUACCCGUGUA
rnacentral:rRNA from 1 species